rnacentral:rRNA from 1 species
CAGUCGCCACGGGAAUACGGAGGGUGCAAGCGUUACUCGGAAUCACUGGGCGUAAAGGACGCGUAGGCGGAUUAUCAAGUCUCUUGUGAAAUCUAACGGCUCAACCGUUAAACUGCUUGGGAAACUGAUAAUCUAGAGUAAGGGAGAGGCAGAUGGAAUUCUUGGUGUAGGGGUAAAAUCCGUAGAUAUCAAGAAGAAUACCUAUUGCGAAGGCGAUCUGCUGGAACUUAACUGACGCUAAUGCGUGAAAGCGUGGGGAGCGAACAGGAUUAGAUACCCCAGUAGUCCCUGUCUCUUAUAU